rnacentral:rRNA from 2 species
CAGUGGAGCGUGUGGUUUAAUUCGAAGCAACGCGCAGAACCUUACCAGGUCUUGACAUCCCCUGACAGCCUCAGAGAUGAGGUGUUCUGGUUUCCAGACAGGGAGACAGGUGUUGCAUGGUUGUCGUCAGCUCGUGUCGUGAGAUGUUGGGUUAAGUCCCGCAACGAGCGCAACCCCCGUUCUGUGUUGCCAGCGUAAAGUCGGGCACUCACAGGAGACUGCCGGAGACAAUUCGGAGGAAGGUGGGGAUGACGUCAAAUCCUCAUGGCCCUUAUGACCUGGGCUACACACGCGCUACAAUGGCCUGUACAGAGGGAAGCGAAAGAGCGAUCUGGAGCGAAUCUCACAAAACAGGUCUCAGUUCGGAUUGCAGGCUGAAACCCGCCUGCAUGAAGCCGGAAUUGCUAGUAAUCGCAGAUCAGCUACGCUGCGGUGAAUACGUUCUCGGGCCUU